UUCAAGUCUUGAACCUUUAUACUAAUCUUGAUUGUUGGUUAUUGGUAAAGUAAAUGAAAUGUUCUUUUUUAUAUUUAAUUGAUUGUUUUUUCUUUUCUUCAGUUAAUAUUUAUAAUUCUUCUAAGCCGUUAGAAACAUGUCAAGAUUCAAGUUUUAACACUAAAAGGAAUCAAGGGAAAAAAAUAGAAUAAAGCUGAAACUGGUAUAUCUUAUUAUGUGUUGUUCUGAUGUAGAUCAUAAGAUGUGUAAGCAUCAGCAUUGAAAUUAGUGCCUAGCAGCAUAUGAAGUCAUAGAAGUUUCAGAUAUGGCAUUCCAUCCAAGAUUUAUACAAUGUUACAGUAUGAAUCAUGUUAACUUAUUUUUGAGCCAGCUUUCGACCCUAAUUUCCAUGUUUCGUCACAUGAACUCUUGCUUCCAUAAAGGUUAUCCAUCUCUAGUUGAAUAAUCAAUGAGUUACCUUACAAAUCAUCCUAUAGUGUGCCCUGGCUUGGAAGAUUUCAUACAAUCACAGUAGCCAUGAUAACUGCUGGUAGGUCAGGUUCUUUGCUAUCAUACAUAUCAAACGGCAGUUUAUCUGAUUAACAGAGUGCAAACAUAGAAAAAGAAAUGCUGGCAAUUGACAAACUCAAUAACAUAUGUUAUCUUCAUUCUUACAAGACGUCCUUGAUGAAUCUUGAGGACUAGAUAGAUGGAAUCAGUAGGUGAUCAUUGUAGACCGAGGGCAUCUUCCGUCAACUGUCUUUCAAACCAAAUGGAUUAUCGAGUGCUGCAUCAUUGUCAACUUGCAUCUUGACGAAUACUCAGCAACUUAGCACGUUUGACCACUACUCAUGUAUGCAGUAAAAGGAUAGAAAGCUUCUGAAAAAGUACCUGCUUUAAUUUUCUUAUUCUUUUGUGUUUUGCUUGUCAUAGUCAAGUUCCGUAUGUAACUUGUUUGUAGUUGUGGUGCAAACUAAUUGUUUCAGGAUCCAAAAUCCUAUGUUUCCCGUAUAGUGACACAGCAAAAAUGAAUCCAAGAUACUGAGUGAUAAACCCAAGUGGUACAUUCUUGAUAGCAGGUCAAGUUAAAGUUGCAAUUUUCAAAAAUGAAAUCAUUUUCAUUUUUUGAUUCAAAAGAGAUCUUUACCUUGAUAGGAAAACUUGCAUAAUCUUGUAUAAUUUAGGCGAUUGUAAAUGCAUGUCUUGCAAUUAUUGGAUUUUCCAUCCAUGUUAUGUUGUCAUUUUAUUCAAUGAUUCAGCCUACAUGUGACAAUGGAGUCAUCGUUAUAUGUGACUUUCUGCAGUGAAUCUUAGUUGGCAUGAUUCAUCCACAUCUAUUCAGAGUGCAACUGCAUUUAUGACACCCGCACCAACUGUUAGGUCUGUAUCCAUGAGAGAUAUGGGCACAGAAAUGACUCCUAUUGCAAGUCAGGAGCCUUCUCGUACAGGAACUCCCGCGGGAGCAACUUCACCACUUUACAGCCCAACUUCUUCCCGGCCAGCAACUCCACAAAGAAGAGCUCCAGUUUCAACCCAGACUGACUCAGCUGACUGCCAUGACGAUUUGAACGAUAAGGAGAUGUCUGAAAAGGAGCUACAAAGGAAAACUAGGAGGGAAAUAAUGGUGCUAGGCCAAAAAUUGGGCAAGACAAACAUAGCUGCAUGGGCCGGCAAGGAAGAAGAAGAUACUGAUGCAUCAAUUUCAACUAUCACUGUGUCGAAGGAUCAGCCAGACAAAAGUGUCGUCGAAGUGCGUGCAGCAGCCUGGGAAGAAGCAGAAAAGACCAAGUAUCUUGCUAGGUUUAAACGAGAAGAGAUCAAGAUCCAAGCAUGGGAAAAUCAUCAAAAAGCUACGAUUGAAGCUGAAAUGAGGAAGAUUGAGGUAGAGGUGGAAAGAAUGAGGGCCUGUGCACAUGAGAAGUUAAUGAACCAGCUAGCAGCUGUAAGACACAAGGCUGAAGAUAAACGUGCUGCGGCCGAAGUCACAAGGAAUCAGCAAGCUUCCAAAACUGCUCAGCAAGCAGAGUACAUCAGAAGAACAGGUCGAAUUCCUUCUUCAUUUUCCUGCUGGAGUUGGUGCUCCUAGUGCACCUCAGUUUGAAGGAACAAUCCAAGUUUAGUGUGACAAGAAGAAGUUUUCUUGGCUUGACGAUGCUGUAGUCUCAGAUAUGCCCGUAUCUUUAUAGAAUAUGAUGUGAAUGGAGAAUGAGUAGGCAAUGACCCCAUUAAAGAAACCAAGAUUGGAAUGUCUUCUUCAUGGAUAUCAUCACAGCAAUCUCUUCUGGGUGGUGUUAUCGAACUGUUGAAAGUUCUACUGACACGGGGGAAGCAGGUCACAUCUUCCUGUCCUCUCUGGUCUGUCAUACAGUGGAGGUGCAGUGUCGUCACAACGAAGAGCUUAUUUUGUCGUUCAAGCCAUUCUCAUUCCAACAUAUAUACCUCUGUCAUCCAAUCUGCAGCUUUGAGACACUUAAAGAUAAUUGAGAAUUAAUAAGAUGAUUAAUUCAGGAAGAAGGAUUCUGAUGUGUUGAUACAAAGUAACAUAAUAACAUUCUAUUACCAGUCAAAUAAAACUGUGUCCUUAGGUUAAAUUCCAAGGAUACUUCUCA